UAGGGAAUCUUCCGCAAUGGGCGAAAGCCUGACGGAGCAACGCCGCGUGAGUGAUGAAGGUCUUCGGAUCGUAAAACUCUGUUAUUAGGGAAGAACAAAUGUGUAAGUAACUAUGCACGUCUUGACGGUACCUAAUCAGAAAGCCACGGCUAACUACGUGCCAGCAGCCGCGGUAAUACGUAGGUGGCGAGCGUUAUCCGGAAUUAUUGGGCGUAAAGCGCGCGUAGGCGGUUUUUUAAGUCUGAUGUGAAAGCCCACGGCUCAACCGUGGAGGGUCAUUGGAAACUGAAAAACUUGAGUGCAGAAGAGGAAAGUGGAAUUCCAUGUGUAGCGGUGAAAUGCGCAGAGAUAUGGAGGAACACCAGUGGCGAAGGCGACUUUCUGGUCUGUAACUGACGCGGAUGUGCGAAAGCGUGGGGAUCAAACAGG
rnacentral:rRNA from 1 species